UACGUAGGGGGGCAAGCGUUUGUCCGGAAUCAUUGGGCGUAAAGAGCUCGUAGGCGGUUUGUCGCGUCUGCCGUGAAAGUCCGGGGCUCAACUCCGGAUCUGCGGUGGGUACGGGCAGACUAGAGUGAUGUAGGGGAGACUGGAAUUCCUGGUGUAGCGGUGAAAUGCGCAGAUAUCAGGAGGAACACCGGUGGCGAAGGCGGAUCUCUGGGCCGAUACUGACGCUGAGGAGCGAAAGCGUGGGGAGCGAACAGG
rnacentral:rRNA from 1 species